rnacentral:rRNA from 1 species
UACAGAGGGUGCAAGCGUUGUCCGGAUUUACUGGGCGUAAAGAGCGCGCAGGCGGUCGUUCAAGUCGCGUGUGAAAGCCCCCCGGCUCAACUGGGGAGGGUCACGCGAUACUGAUCGACUCGAAGGCAGGAGAGGGUAGUGGAAUUCCCGGUGUAGUGGUGAAAUGCGUAGAUAUCUGGAGGAACACCGGUGGCGAAGGCGACGUCCUGGACCGGCAUUGACGCUGAGGCGCGAAAGCCAGGGGAGCAAACGGG